rnacentral:tRNA from 1 species
CCUACCAUGGUCCAGUGGUUAGGAUUCCUUGGCUUUCACCCAGGCGGCCCGGGUUCGAUUCCCGGUGUAGGA